rnacentral:rRNA from 1 species
GUGCACGCUGGCGGUAGGCCUAACACCUGCAAGUCGCACGGCAGCACAAUAAGAGCUUGCUCUUACGGGUGGCGAGUGGCGGACGGGUGAGGAAUACAUCGGAAUCUACUUUUUCGUGGGGGAUAACGUAGGGAAACUUACGCUAAUACCGCAUACGACCUACGGGUGAAAGCAGGGGAUCUUCGGACCUUGCGCGAUUGAAUGAGCCGAUGUCGGAUUAGCUAGUUGGCGGGGUAAAGGCCCACCAAGGCGACGAUCCGUAGCUGGUCUGAGAGGAUGAUCAGCCACACUGGAACUGAGACACGGUCCAGACUCCUACGGGAGGCAGCAGUGGGGAAUAUUGGACAAUGGGCGCAAGCCUGAUCCAGCCAUACCGCGUGGGUGAAGAAGGCCUUCGGGUUGUAAAGCCCUUUUGUUGGGAAAGAAAAGCAGCAGGUUAAUACCCCGCUGUUCUGACGGUACCCAAAGAAUAAGCACCGGCUAACUUCGUG